rnacentral:rRNA from 1 species
UACAGAGGGGGCGAGCGUUGUUCGGAAUUACUGGGCGUAAAGGGCGCGUAGGCGGCCCGCUAAGUCGCACGUGAAAUCCCCAGGCUCAACCUGGGAACUGCGUCCGAUACUGGCAGGCUUGAAUCCGGGAGAGGGAUGUGGAAUUCCAGGUGUAGCGGUGAAAUGCGUAGAUAUCUGGAGGAACACCGGUGGCGAAGGCGGCAUCCUGGACCGGUAUUGACGCUGAGGCGCGAAAGCUAGGGGAGCAAACGGG